rnacentral:rRNA from 1 species
UACGUAGGUGGCAAGCGUUGUCCGGAAUUAUUGGGCGUAAAGCGCGCGCAGGCGGUCCUUUUAAGUCUGAUGUGAAAGCCCACGGCUCAACCGUGGAGGGUCAUUGGAAACUGGGGGACUUGAGUACAGAAGAGGAAAGCGGAAUUCCACGUGUAGCGGUGAAAUGCGUAGAGAUGUGGAGGAACACCAGUGGCGAAGGCGGCUUUCUGGUCUGUAACUGACGCUGAGGCGCGAAAAGCGUGGGGAGCAAACAGG